rnacentral:misc_RNA from 1 species
GCGUCAGAUGUUUAUAAGAGACAGGUGAAUCAUCGAAUCUUUGAACGCAACUUGCACUCUGUUUCGGCAGAGUAUACCUGUUUGAGAAUCUAUAGUAUUCUUCUAAUCUUUUUUGAUUAGAGACUUGAAUCAUGUAACUUACUGAUUUUAAUUUUAUCUAUAGUAGUUUGUUAGAAAACUGCAAGUGUAUGAAGGGCUUGCCCACUUCCUUGUUGUAUCUAAUGAGUUUUCUCAAUUUGAACCUUGGUCUCAAAUCAGGUAGGAAGACCCGCUGAACUUAAGCAUAUCAAUAAGCGGAGG